GGAGCUCUCUGGCUACAACAUCUGUCAUGCCAUUGAUCGCCAAGGUUGUGUCCCCUUCCUCCAUCACCGCUCCAUGUGCAUCCCUCCUGAAGCUGAGCACUCAGGAGGACUGCAUUCCCUGAGCAGAGAUGGACCGGUCAUUGGCUGAGUAGUUGUGCUCCCCUGCUAGAACCUCCAAACAAACUCUCAAGGUCCAUUUGUAGGAGAACGUAGAGUAAUCAAGCUUCUAAGACUCCAGACACAUCCAAAUGAGGCACUGCAUGUGGCAGUUUGCCUUUCUUU
rnacentral:snRNA from 1 species